rnacentral:rRNA from 1 species
CCUUUAGGUCUGACAUAACUCGUACGAAAGACGGGCUAAUAUCAGAUAAAACAAUAACUUGGCAUCAAGUAAUUGUCAAAGCUUCGGCGCCCAAAGAUGAGUCUGCGGACCAUUAGGUAGUUGGUGGAUUAACAGCCCACCAAGCCAACGAUGGAUAGCUGGUCUGAGAGGAUGAUCAGCCACACUGGAACUGAGACACGGUCCAGACUCCUACGGGAGGCAGCAGUAAGGAAUAUUGCUCAAUGGGAGAAAUCCUGAAGCAGCAACGCCGCGUGAAGGAAGAAGGGUCUUCGACUUGUAAACUUCUGUAGAAGAGGAAAACACUCCGAUAUACUCGGAAUUGAUUGUACUCUUAAAGUAAGCCCCGGCUAACUACGUG